GGUAUGAAGAUGAGAAUUGGAUGAAACCAAACCCUUUUUGUCUUGGUGGUGAAGGUCUGGUUUCCUCCAAUAUCUCACCUUCAAUUU
rnacentral:pre_miRNA from 1 species